AUGAUCAGGUAAUCAGACAUUUAGUAUGCAGUGCCUGACUUGGAGUCUAGUAGUUAUGGCUAUAAGUGUGGGGAGCUGAUUACCAUGUUCCCAGGCCUGUUUAUAUAUUUUACAUGAAAAAUUUUAAUUUUUUUUGUUUAUUUUUAUUUUUUAUUUAAAUAUUGAAGUGUCAUAGUUUAGGGCAAAUCAGGAAGGAAAACUGGAAGAAAAAAGAAUUCACCUCUCCUGUUUCUGAUCAGCUUUACAGAACUUUUUAAGCCUGUUUUACCUGUUCUUGCAGGCUUGGGCAAUUGUUGAGCUUUGCUGCAGACUAAAAAACUUUGAACCACUUCAAAUGGAAAGAAAAAUACCAUAAUUCUACCCAAACCAUACCUUGAUGGCUCUGGCUUUCUUAAGGAAGAGUCCCUGGGAACCAGCUGAGAUGAAGUACAGUGACUGGGUAUGACCACUGCUACAGAAUAAAGAACAAGCAAGAAUUAAGUUUUAACCUGGA
rnacentral:lncRNA from 1 species